GGACAGGUGGCUGAGUGGUCUAAGGCAGCAGCUCGCAAGAGCUGCUGUACAACGUAAGUCGUAUCGGAGUUCGAAUCCUUGCCCUGUCCGCCA
rnacentral:tRNA from 1 species